UGGGGAAUAUUGGACAAUGGGCGCAAGCCUGAUCCAGCCAUGCCGCGUGGGUGAAGAAGGCCUUCGGGUUGUAAAGCCCUUUUGUUGGGGAAGAAAUCGUGCAGGUGAAUAUCCUGCGCGGAUGACGGUACCCAAAGAAUAAGCACCGGCUAACUUCGUGCCCGCAGCCGCGGUAAUACGAAGGGUGCAAGCGUUACUCGGAAUUACUGGGCGUAAAGCGUGCGUAGGCGGGUCGUUAAGUCCGUUGUGAAAGCCCUGGGCUCAUCCUGGGGCCUGCAGUGGNUACGGGCAAACUAGAGUGCGGUAGGGGAGAUUGGAAUUCCUGGUGUAGCGGUGGAAUGCGCAGAUAUCAGGAGGAACACCGAUGGCGAAGGCAGAUCUCUGGGCCGUAACUGACGCUGAGGAGCGAAAGCAUGGGGAGCGAACA
rnacentral:rRNA from 1 species